rnacentral:lncRNA from 1 species
AAAAGCAGGCUGCUCCGCGCUAGCACUAGCAAGUUGCUAGAGUGGCCUGCCACAGUGUAAGUUUUGUUCUUUAGCUCUUUGCAAUAAAUCUUGCUACUGCCCACUCUUUGGGUUUACACUGCAUUUAUGAGCUGUAACACUCAUGGUGAAGAUUUACAGGUUCAGUCCUGAAGCCAGCGAGACAAAGAACCCACUGGGAAGAACAAACAACUCCAGACGCCCCAACUUAAGAGCUGUUAACACCCGAAGAUCUGCAGCUUCACUUUUGAGCCAGCGAGACCACGAACCCACCAGAAGGAAGAAACUCUGAACAGGCUGGAACGUCAGAAGGAACAAACUCAGGACAUGCCACCUUUAAGAACUGUAACACUCACUGUGAGGGUCUGCGGCUUCAUUCUUGAAGGCUGUGAGACCAAGAACCCACCAAUUUCGGACACACUGGGACCACCCUCGCUGACUGGAGGUAAUAUUGGUUUUUGCUGUUGAAAUUAAUGACAAAAAGCGUGAUUACCUUUGCACCAACCUAAAUGUAAGUAGCCGAGGGCCAGUGUGGUGGUGCUGUGAUGCCUUCUAUGUCACAGGCUGUUUUUGUUUUUAAUUUCUCCAUCCUUAUUAGUGCUUUUCCUUAAGGUCACCUCAGGUCCACAGACAAGGCUGCUGAGCCUCCAGCUAUCCUGCCCAUGUUCUAUUUAAGAAAGAAGGGACAGGAGCAAAGAUGUUUUCCAGCAAUCUCAUCCAAUGCAUUUGCUGACAUUUCACUGGCCACCCCAUCAGGAAGGAAAGCCAGACAUUUUUUUUCUGCACCUAGAAAUUUACAGGUUUUAUUAGUUAAGAAUAUGGUUUAGUAGACUUUGGGUAGGAAACUAGCAGUCGCUGAUGUGUGAGGGAUUCUAAAAAUAAGCUUGGACUUUUAAAAACAUGUCUGAUAUGUUUGUGCCCUGUAGAUCCAUGUCACUUGGCAAAGUUCCUCCAGAGUUAUCUAGAAUUUUUCCUUUAUUUCAAUAUCUCAUCAAUUGCUCCCGAUCAGUUGCCAAACCUUGCCAGUUUCAAGUCCCAGAAUGUAAACUAAAUCUGUUUCCUCCUCUUCAUUCCUGAUACCACUUCCCUAGUUCAGGCCCUGCUGUUCCUCGCUAGGUCGCUGGCACCACCUCUUGACUGUGUCCUUUGAGUAGGGAGAGUAAAGCAUGAACGGUGCCAGCUCUACAGCUGGAGCUUGGCUUUUCUUGGGGGGGGGGGGUAAAUAAAUUAAACAGAAAAUGCUGGUAGUUCCUGUGGUGUAUCUGAGCUAUCUGUUUAAAUAGCUGAUUCGUUCAUCAUUAGGUGUCCAAGGACAGUGACUUGCCUUAUUCUGCUCUUAUUCUCCAGCACUUGAGGCAAUCAUUCCCAGAUAGUGGAACCUCGAAUGGCAGACACUGUGGUUCUCCUGCGGGGCUGAGAACUGUGAGGAGCAGAGCAGACUUCAUGGAGCUCCACAAGUCACAUACACAGGCGGCUGCUGGCUAUUUCCGCUUUCUCAUCUGGAAUUGGCAGCGGACUAAGUGGGCCCUACUUAUUAGGUUGGUGCAAAAGUAAUCGCGAUUCUUGCCAUUAAAAGUAAUGGCAAAAGCUGCGAUUACUUUUGCACCAAUCUUACUAUAUAUAUAUUAUUUUUUCAAAUCUCAGUUUUAUUCUCAUUCCAGCAUCCUAAUGCUUUCCCUUUGGAUUUUUUUUUCUAAUCUUGAGAAGUUUGUGUUUUCAGUGUAGUAAUAACAAUAAUAGUGUUCUUAGCACACGCGUUACGCCAAGGGCUUUUAAAAGAUACUUUUCAUAAACCAACUCACUUAAUUCUCACAACAACUUUUGAAGUAGUCCACUUUCUAAUCCUCAUUUUACAGAUAAGGAAACUGAGGCACACAAGGUCAGCUAACCUGCCCGAGGUCUCUAGCUAGUGACUGGAAGAGGUGUUCUCUGGAUAUUAUUUGAAUCUCAGUCUCGCUAUAUUUCUUCGUCAUGACUGUAACUUUCCCCCUGUAUUUCUAAAUAUUUUAAUCUCUUGAUCAUAUAGCAUACGUUGAUUUAAUAAAUCACUUUUACAUGCAUU